GUGCUCACUCCUCAGCACACACACGAAUAUUGGAAUGACAUGAGAAGAUUAGCAUGGUCCCUGCGCAAGGAUGACAUGCAAAUUCGUUGUGUUCCAUGUUUUU